UGUAUACGUUUUCUGUGUGGGUGGAGAAAGAUGGAGUAAAUAGCUCUGUGGAGACUGUCACUAGUGCCACAGCUCCCAACCCAGUGAGGAACCUGAGAGUGGAGGCUCAGACCAACAGCUCCAUCGCCCUGAGCUGGGAGGUCCCCGAUGGCCCAGACCCACAGAACUCCACCUACUGGGUUCAGUGCGCUGGAGACGGUGGCAGAACAGAGACUCGAACCACAAGAGACACCAACGUCACCGUGGAUGGACUUGGACCCG
rnacentral:sRNA from 1 species